UAUCUCGUGCUCUUGUUCUAAUGGAACCACCUAAUAUUCCAUCCCGAACUUAGUAGUGAAACGUUAGAAGGGUGAAAAUACUCGAGGGGAGGCCCUCCGGGAAAAUAACUUAGUGCGAGAUA
rnacentral:rRNA from 1 species